GGUCCCUUCGUCUAGUGGUUAGGACAUCAGGUUUUCAUCCUGAUAACAGGGGUUCGAUUCCCCUAGGGACUA
rnacentral:tRNA from 1 species